rnacentral:lncRNA from 1 species
UGGAGAAAUGAGCUCCAGGAAGGUCAUAAGAUGUGGAGGGAGGAGCACAGAGCUAGGAGAUUGGAGGCCUGGGUGGAUUCCCAAUCCCAGAGUUCACACGCCACGGUCCACCAGGGAAGUCAUUUAAUCUCUCUUACCUUAGCCCACUCAACCAUAAAGUAGAGGGAAUAUGUAAAAGAGGACUGUAGGUACCAUCAAAUAAAAUACUAUAUAUGAAGCAUCUGUUACAGUGUGGUGUACGUGGUAGCUGCCCAAUAAAUUAAAGAAGUGAUUAGAAUGAAUCGGUUUUAACUCAUGAUGUGAUCACUUACUUUUCAUAUUACCUCUGUUACUAUAUCUGAUGGUGAUGUUUGCUUUUGCUUUAAGCACAAAUCCACAUUAACAGCCAUAACAGCAUGAUAAUAGUUACCUUUUCCCCAGCCCUUCACCUCUGCAGGGACUUCUCAUGUUAGUUGACAGCAUAGGUGGCAGGUGUUCUUGUCUUCAUCUUCUCUGUUGAAAGCUGUGCACCCCCCAUACUCUGACACUUUACUUGAUCAUGUUUCCUGUCAUCCCCCCAAAUAGUCAUAGUUGCCUGUGUGUUUAUUGCUUCCCCAACCAGAAUGUAUGUCUCAUAAACAGUAGUGUUGUUCUCUUUUUUUCUCUGUAAGCCGGAGCAGUGUGCAGCGUGAUACAUGUGCUCAGUGCAGGGCUGCUUAAAUGAGAGGACACACAUGUCAACUCCCCUUAUACACAGGAGGAAAAGGAGCUUUGUAAAAGGACAUGGCAGUAAACUUCCCUUCUGAGGCUGUAGCUCAUGCCUUUGCGUGUUUCAGCAAGAAUGAAGAAUAUCAGUCAAAAGUUUCCACGUCACACCUGCCUGGGCUAUACCCUGGGUGUUUACACAGUAGAAGACACUGAGACCAAUAUCACAGGUAGAUUGACUGUGAUAGAAAAUAGGCCUCAAAUACAAUUUAUUCAAGUCUAAGAAAUGAAAUCUCAUUCAGUUUCAGGCGUCAACAGCAGGGAGAACCACAAACCACAAACUUCUUUUGCACUGGGAAAGAUGUUGCCGUGGGAACAGGGCUGCUGGCCAUUUGGCCAUCUCACUCAUCUCUGGAGGAAUGCAGGUGAGGAAGAAACAAAUCUACUGUGUUAUGAUUAUUUCUCUCAUAAUUAUGUAACUAAUGAACUAUUAAUCCGAGACAAUUAGUCCAGCAUCUCUUCAUGAUAUUUUUGUUCCCUGGGUAAACCAAAGGUAAGCAAAUGCAUGGCUGAGAUGCCCAGGGUUCCCCAAGCUCCCUGGGGAAUGUCAAAAAUAAACAGAUCUUCCCAAACAUUAGCACUGAUCUUCUUUUACAUUGAAAGUUCUUAUUUAAAGAGAAGGAAUUUCUCACACCAGUAAUAACAUUUGAAUCAAUAGAAACUGUGAUUCUUGCCUCUAUUUGUAGUUUUAAAAUGAACUCUUCCAGAAUAUUGCCCCCAAUUAAUAACGAUAAUGAUGAAGUCCUAUCAAUAAUAAUGAAUAUUUAUUUAGUUCUUUGACUUGUGUCACACAUCAGAUUAAGCACCAUUUUUCAUUAUUUAAUUCUCAGCAAUCACAUGGGGUUGGUAGCUCCAUUUUACAAACAAAAACAAAACAAACAAACAAAAAUUCUAGAAGUUUUUAGAGAGGUUACAUCACUUAUCACAAAUGUGUAAAUGGCGAACCUAUGACUCAAACUGAGACAUCCUUAACCCCGUGCCUGUGUCUUAAGCACC